AACGAACGCUGGCGGCAUGCCUAACACAUGCAAGUCGAACGAGACCUUCGGGUCUAGUGGCGCACGGGUGCGUAACGCGUGGGAACCUGCCCUUAUGUUCGGAAUAACUCCCCGAAAGGGGUGCUAAUACCGGAUAAUGUCUUCGGACCAAAGAUUUAUCGCCUUUGGAUGGGCCCGCGUUGGAUUAGAUAGUUGGUAGGGUAAAAGCCUACCAAGGCGACGAUCCAUAGCUGGUCUGAGAGGAUGAUCAGCCACACUGGGACUGAGACACGGCCCAGACUCCUACGGGAGGCAGCAGUGGGGAAUAUUGGACAAUGGGCGAAAGCCUGAUCCAGCAAUGCCGCGUGAGUGAUGAAGGCCUUAGGGUUGUAAAGCUCUUUUACCCGGGAUGAUAAUGACAGUACCGGGAGAAUAAGCUCCGGCUAACUCCGUG
rnacentral:rRNA from 1 species